rnacentral:rRNA from 1 species
AUUGAACGCUGGCGGCAGGCCUAACAAAUGCAAGUCGAGCGGAGCGGCGGACGGGCGAGUAAUGCCUAGGAAUCUGCCUGGUAGUGGGGGAUAGCGUCCGGAAACGGGCUCUACUACCGCAUGCUAUCAGAUGAGCCUAGGUCGGGUUAGCUAGUUGGUGAGGUAAAGGCCUACCAAGGCGUCGAUACGUAACUGGUCUGAGAGUAUGAGCAGUCACACUGGAACUGAGACACGGUCCAGACUCCUACGGGAGGCAGCAGUGGGGAAUAUUGGCCAAUGGGGGAAAGCCUGCUAUAGCAAUGCCGCGUGUCUGAAGAAGGCCUUCGGGUUGUAAAGUACUUUCAGCGGGGAGGCGUUCCCCGCAGAAGAAGCACCGGCUAACUCCGUGCCAGCAGCCGCGGUAAUUC